CCGCCAGAGAACUACAAAUGAAAAAUUUAAAACUCAAAGGACUUGACGGUGUCCCAUACCAACCUAGAGGAGCCUGUCCUAUAAUCGAUACCCCCCGAUUCACCCAACCUUAAUUAGCAUCCUUCAGCCUAUAUACCGCCGUCGACAGUUUACCCCAUGAGGGUUUAAUAGUAGACAUAACAGCUUAGCCGCUAAUACGUCAGGUCAAGGUGUAGCAAAUAUUAAGGAAGAGAUUGGCUACAUUUUUUAUUUUAAAAAAUACGGAAAAUAUUAUGAAACAAUACAUGAAGGUGAAUUUAGUAGUAAGGU
rnacentral:rRNA from 1 species